AAAGAAAAUUAAACACGAGGGAAAACUAUCAUUAGGUUUGAGACAGGAAAAGUGUGAGGAGAGUGACUUUUUUCCACACGCAAAUCUAUUUUGUUUAGCUUGGAGGAUGGGGAAGGGAUGAUGAAUACAGAAUGUACUGUAUCUGGGGACGCGUGGUGUUUGCCCAGAAGGGCUCAGAGCCCGUGGAGGGGGAGCCCCCCGUGCCCACCCUCUGGGGCAGGACCAGGGGCUCCAGCAAGCCCAGGCCCCUCUCUGUGCUUCGUUCCCCAGGUCACCGGGAUCCCCAUGAACUGCUCCGUGAAAUUGCAGCUGAGCCUCUAUAUCAAGGCUAUCAAAGGCAUCGGACAAACGGGGAAGAUCCAGCCCGUGGUCCUGCCGUUGGUGUGGUUCGAAGAGAGCGGGGCGAUGGAAGGUGAGCCCCUGCAGACCUUCUACACCCAGCUGGUGUUGAUGCCCAGUGUGUUGCACUACGCCCAGUACGUCCUCCUCGCGCUGGGCUGCGUCCUGCUGCUCAUCCCCAUCAUCCACCAGAUCCGGAGCCAAUGUCAACUAUAAAUUAGCUUGGUUAUCUUCUAGGAGAAAUGCUAUUUAUUUUGGAGUAGUAGUAAAAAGGGCUCAAAGGAUAAGGAGGCCAUUCAGGCCUAUUCUGAAUCCCUGAUGACAUCAGCUCCCAAGGGGACUGUGCUGCAAGAAGCAAGACUGUAGGGUCCCGGAGAUGCCACGAGCCAGCCCAGCGUGGCCACUCAGCCAGACCUGCUCCCCGGCCCCUACACCCCGCUUCUUCAGGACUCUCUCAGCGGACAGCCCACCGGUCCUGAAGUCUGAGCCCCCUAGCUGCCACACGCGUGACCACACACUGCACACCCCCCAGCACGUGUACAUGCACGAGUCCACAGGCGUGUGCAGGCACACUCAGGGAUGAGCUGCUGCUGAGGAGACUCAGGGAGAGCCUCAUCAACAAGGACUGUCUGGAACCUUCUGUCCAAGUGACCCGCACUGCUGUGGGCACUGGGUCCCCUCCCUUGAGUGAGCCUGGCCAGACCUGUUCAGCCAGGGGGCCUGGGCUCCGGACACCACCUCCCCCCCAGCGCCCUCUCCACCAGUCACGAAAUCCUGCAGUCCCCGAUUGGUGGCUCGGUCAUGUAGGACAGGCCUUUUACUCUGAGGGACCGGCUACUGUCCCAAAAUCCAGCCCGGGAACACAGACUUCUUGUGCCAAAGCCGUGUGGGCAGGGGGCUGCCCCGUCCAGCCCAGACCCAGAGCUUUGGCCCUGUACGUCCAUCUGGGCUGGGGGCGAGGCGCCUUCACAUGGGCCUCAGCAAACAGUGUGAGCUCCAGAUGCAUCUCGAGCCUGCUCCGACAGUCUCCUCAUUCCCCAAGCAGACGUUGAUCUCCCUGAAGUCUGCAUGGGGACCAGGCUUGGGUGCCUGGGGCCCCUUUCCUCCAGCCUAAACUGACAUCCUCCUGUAUACUGAGCCGGCUGCUCCCUGGUGGGGGUGGUGGGAGGCUCCACCCCAGGCUGCCCACCAGGAGGGCCCUCAGCUUUUAGGUGCCGCGGCGGCAGAGGUGCGGAAGCCCAGCCCCAUCGGUCUGGGGUCUGGUCCGGUCGGGUGGGAGACCCGUCCACCCGUGACUCCCACUCUGGGGUAAGCCUCUGCCUCUUUUCUACUGCAAGAGAAGUGAAGUUUAUCAUCUUUUAAAAAUAAUUCACUGUUGAAGUAAUAAACCUUUUUUAAAAGUUAA